CGUCGGAGCUGCAGGAGGGAGACAGCAGGGGACGGGCGCAUCAGCCUCUAGCCGCCGAAGCCGUAGAGGGUGCGGCCCUGGCGCUUGAGCGCGUAGACGACGUCCAUGGCGGUGACGGUCUUGCGGCGGGCGUGCUCGGUGUAGGUGACGGCGUCGCGGAUGACGUUCUCGAGGAAGAUCUUGAGUACGCCGCGGGUCUCCUCGUAGAUGAGCCCGGAGAUGCGCUUCACGCCGCCCCUCCUCGCCAGCCGCCGGAUCGCCGGCUUGGUGAUGCCCUGGAUGUUGUCGCGGAGCACCUUCCGGUGGCGCUUCGCGCCGCCCUUGCCGAGCCCCUUACCGCCCUUGCCGCGCCCAGACAUGCUUGCCAACGGAGCUGGAUUCCUCGGAGGAGUGGAUCGAAGUGAAGAUGGGGAUUCAAGGUGUGAUUGGUGCUUGGAGUGGG
rnacentral:lncRNA from 1 species